rnacentral:rRNA from 1 species
GACGAACGCUGGCGGCGUGCUUAACACAUGCAAGUCGAACGGAAAGGCCCUGCUUUUGUGGGGUGCUCGAGUGGCGAACGGGUGAGUAACACGUGAGUAACCUGCCCUUGACUUUGGGAUAACUUCUGGAAACUGGGGCUAAUACCGGAUAGGAGCUCCUGCUGCAUGGUGGGGGUCGGAAAGUUUCGGCGGUUGGGGAUGGACUCGCGGCUUAUCAGCUUGUUGGUGGGGUAGUGGCUUACCAAGGCUUUGACGGGUAGCCGGCCUGAGAGGGUGACCGGCCACAUUGGGACUGAGAUACGGCCCAGACUCCUACGGGAGGCAGCAGUGGGGAAUAUUGCACAAUGGGCGGAAGCCUGAUGCAGCAACGCCGCGUGCGGGAUGACGGCCUUCGGGUUGUAAACCGCUUUCGCCUGUGACGAAGCGUGAGUGACGGUAAUGGGUGAAGAAGCACCGGCUAACUACGUG